rnacentral:rRNA from 1 species
GUGGGGAAUAUUGGACAAUGGGCGCAAGCCUGAUCCAGCAAUGCCGCGUGCAGGAAGAAGGCCUUCGGGUUGUAAACUGCUUUUGUACGGAACGAAACGGUCCUGGCUAAUACCCGGGGCUAAUGACGGUACCGUAAGAAUAAGCACCGGCUAACUACGUGCCAGCAGCCGCGGUAAUACGUAGGGUGCGAGCGUUAAUCGGAAUUACUGGGCGUAAAGCGUGCGCAGGCGGUGCUGUAAGACAGGCGUGAAAUCCCCGGGCUCAACCUGGGAAUUGCGCUUGUGACUGCAGUGCUGGAGUGCGGCAGAGGGGGAUGGAAUUCCGCGUGUAGCAGUGAAAUGCGUAGAUAUGCGGAGGAACACCGAUGGCGAAGGCAAUCCCCUGGGCCUGCACUGACGCUCAUGCACGAAAGCGUGGGGAGCAAACAGGAUUAGAUACCCCUGUAGUCC